UCCGGUUUGUCACCGGCAGUCUCAUUAGAGUGCCCAACUAAAUGUAGCAACUAAUGACAAGGGUUGCGCUCGUUGCGGGACUUAACCCAACAUCUCACGACACGAGCUGACGACAGCCAUGCAGCACCUGUGUUCUGGCUCCCUUUCGGGCACUUCCGCAUCUCUGCAGAAUUCCAGACAUGUCAAGGGUAGGUAAGGUUGUUCGCGUUGCAUCGAAUUAAUCCACAUCAUCCACCGCUUGUGCGGGUCCCCGUCAAUUCCUUUGAGUUUUAACCUUGCGGCCGUACUCCCCAGGCGGCUCACUUCACGCGUUAGCUGCGGUACUGAGAAAUCGCUUCCCCAACACCUAGUUGACAUCGUUUAGGGCGUGGACUAC
rnacentral:misc_RNA from 1 species